rnacentral:rRNA from 1 species
CGGCCAGACUCCUACGGGAGGCAGCAGUGGGGGAUAUUGCACAAUGGGGGAAACCCUGAUGCAGCGACGCCGCGUGGGUGAAGAAGCGCCUCGGCGCGUAAAGCCCUGUCAGCAGGGAAGAAAAUGACGGUACCUGAAGAAGAAGCCCCGACUAACUACGUGCCAGCAGCCGCGGUAAUACGUAGGGGGCAAGCGUUAUCCGGAUUUACUGGGUGUAAAGGGGGCGCAGACGGCGAUGCAGGCCAGGAGUGAAAGCCCGGGGCCCAACCCCGGGACUGCUCUUGGAACUGCGUGGCUAGAGUGCAGGAGGGGCAGGCGGAAUUCCUGGUGUAGCGGUGAAAUGCGUAGAUAUCAGGAGGAACACCGGUGGCGAAGGCGGUCUGCUGGACAGCAACUGACGCUGAGGCGCGAAAGCGUGGGGAGCAAACAGGAUUAGAUGCCCCCGUACUA